rnacentral:misc_RNA from 1 species
UUGUGGAGAAGGACGCCGAAGGUGGGGCUGAUGACUGGGGUGAAGUCGUAACAAGGUAGCCGUACCGGAAGGUGCGGCUGGAUCACCUCCUAACAGGGAGACAAAUUAUUGAUUGUGAUGUCUGAGUAUUUAAUUCUUAGGCCACGAUCCUGUCACCUUAGGUCGAUCGGUACCUCAGAUUUUUGAAUUAAUUUUUUAUAAUUAAUCCUUAUAAUUUCAGUUCCUAAACUUGUCUAGGUCACACCCAACAAGGGUUUCUCCUGGGCCAUUAGCUCAGGUGGUUAGAGCGCACCCCUGAUAAGGGUGAGGUCCCUGGUUCAAGUCCAGGAUGGCCCAUUCGUUGUUGGGGGUAUAGCUCAGUUGGUAGAGCGCCUGCUUUGCAAGCAGGAUGUCAGCGGUUCGAGUCCGCUUACCUCCACUGAAACUACCCUGAUAACUAAUUUCAGGAGGAAAUUUGUAAUUGUGACUUAGAAUUGUCUAUUUGAAAGAACCUAGCUUCUUAUCAUCUCUUUAAAAGUUGAUAAUAUGCUGGGCUCACAUGGAAUUUUUCCAUGAGAAUUCAGUAGAACCUUGAAAACUGCAUAGAUUGAAAGAAUAAAGCAUCUCAUGGAUGCAUAAUUCAAUAAUGAUUUUUUAGUUGAUAGCUAAAUUAUCAAUAUUCGAAUUCAUGUUUAAUUCUUGAGUAAAAGCCGAGCACAAUUGAUUUUGUGUUUGUAUUAAGGUCAAGCUACAA